rnacentral:rRNA from 1 species
GAGUUUGAUCAUGGCUCAGGACGAACGCUGGCGGCGUGCUUAACACAUGCAAGUCGAACGGAAAGGCCCCGCUUGCGGGGUACUCGAGUGGCGAACGGGUGAGUAACACGUGGGUGAUCUGCCCUGCACUUCGGGAUAAGCCUGGGAAACUGGGUCUAAUACCGGAUAGGACCCCUCUUUAGUGUGGGGGGUGGAAAGUUUUUUCGGUGUGGGAUGAGCCCGCGGCCUAUCAGCUUGUUGGUGGGGUAAUGGCCUACCAAGGCGUCGACGGGUAGCCGGCCUGAGAGGGUGGACGGCCACAUUGGGACUGAGAUACGGCCCAGACUCCUACGGGAGGCAGCAGUGGGGAAUAUUGCACAAUGGGCGGAAGCCUGAUGCAGCGACGCCGCGUGGGGGAUGACGGCCUUCGGGUUGUAAACCUCUUUCGCUAGGGACGAAGCUUUUGUGACGGUACCUAGAUAAGAAGCACCGGCUAACUACGUGCCAGCAGCCGCGGUAC